rnacentral:rRNA from 1 species
UGCUGGAGGUAUCAGAAGUGCGAAUGCUGACAUAAGUAACGAUAAAGCGGGUGAAAAGCCCGCUCGCCGGAAGACCAAGGGUUCCUGUCCAACGUUAAUCGGGGCAGGGUGAGUCGACCCCUAAGGCGAGGCCGAAAGGCGUAGUCGAUGGGAAACAGGUUAAUAUUCCUGUACUUGGUGUUACUGCGAAGGGGGGACGGAGAAGGCUAUGUUAGCCGGGCGACGGUUGUCCCGGUUUAAGCAUGUAGGCGGAGGUUCCAGGUAAAUCCGGUACCUUUUAACGCUGAGGUGUGAUGACGAGGCACUACGGUGCUGAAGUAACAAAUGCCCUGCUUCCAGGAAAAGCCUCUAAGCAUCAGGUAACAUCAAAUCGUACCCCAAACCGACACAGGUGGUCAGGUAGAGAAUACCAAGGCGCUUGAGAGAACUCGGGUGAAGGAACUAGGCAAAAUGGUGCCGUAACUUCGGGAGAAGGCACGCUGAUAUGUAGGUGAAGCCCCUGCGGGUGGAGCUGAAAUCAGUCGAAGAUACCAGCUGGCUGCAACUGUUUAUUAAAAACACAGCACUGUGCAAACACGAAAGUGGACGUAUACGGUGUGACGCCUGCCCGGUGCCGGAAGGUUAAUUGAUGGGGUUAGCGGCAACGCGAAGCUCUUGAUCGAAGCCCCGGUAAACGGCGGCCGUAACUAUAACGGUCCUAAGGUAGCGAAAUUCCUUGUCGGGUAAGUUCCGACCUGCACGAAUGGCGUAAUGAUGGCCAGGCUGUCUCCACCCGAGACUCAGUGAAAUUGAACUCGCUGUGAAGAUGCAGUGUACCCGCGGCAAGACGGAAAGACCCCGUGAACCUUUACUAUAGCUUGACACUGAACACUGGUCCUUGAUGUGUAGGAUAGGUGGGAGGCUUUGAAGUGUGGACGCCAGUCUGCAUGGAGCCGUCCUUGAAAUACCACCCUUUAAUGGCUGGUGUUCUAACGUAGACCCGUGAUCCGGGUUGCGGACAGUGUCUGGUGGGUAGUUUGACUGGGGCGGUCUCCUCCCAAAGAGUAACGGAGGAGCACGAAGGUUAGCUAAUCCUGGUCGGACAUCAGGAGGUUAGUGCAAUGGCAUAAGCUAGCUUGACUGCGAGAGUGACGGCUCGAGCAGGUGCGAAAGCAGGUCAUAGUGAUCCGGUGGUUCUGAAUGGAAGGGCCAUCGCUCAACGGAUAAAAGGUACUCCGGGGAUAACAGGCUGAUACCGCCCAAGAGUUCAUAUCGACGGCGGUGUUUGGCACCUCGAUGUCGGCUCAUCACAUCCUGGGGCUGAAGUAGGUCCCAAGGGUAUGGCUGUUCGCCAUUUAAAGUGGUACGCGAGCUGGGUUUAGAACGUCGUGAGACAGUUCGGUCCCUAUCUGCCGUGGGCGCUGGAGAAUUGAGGGGGGCUGCUCCUAGUACGAGAGGACCGGAGUGGACGCAUCACUGGUGUUCGGGUUGUCAUGCCAAUGGCACUGCCCGGUAGCUAAAUGCGGAAAAGAUAAGUGCUGAAAGCAUCUAAGCACGAAACUUGCCCCGAGAUGAGUUCUCCCUGAGACUUUAAGUCUCCUGAAGGAACGUUGAAGACGACGACGUUGAUAGGUCGGGUGUGUAAGCGCAGCGAUGCGUUGAGCUAACCGAUACUAAUGAACCGUGAGGCUUAACCUU